rnacentral:lncRNA from 1 species
UUUAAAAUAAAAAAAUUUCUUUCCUUUUCAUUCUGUCGGUUCAUCUUUUAGUUGACAAAAAAAAAAAAGAUCACAAACUCCUUCUUCCCCCCCCUUUUCUCUAUUCGGCUGAAGGAACUCUCAGCAGUCCAUCGCGCCACCGUCGGGGCCAAUGGCUGGCGUUGCGCGAAAAGGACUCUUUAGCCCCAUUCCAGGUGAACCCGAAAGGCCGCGUUCCAAAAGAAGUUCAUGAGCCUAGCCCUUUUAAUCGAAAAGAAACGAAAGAAAGGAUCCCCACCCCUUUUCAGCCCCGACGACGGAGGAGAAAUCUCCGACGGUGAAGCCACGGGCGUUUCCGGUGAGGCUUUCUUCUCUUCCUUUUUCUUUUUAUUUGUUUUGUUUAAUAGAUUUGUAAAAGAAAAUAAGAAAUAAUAAUAAUAAAUAUAAAUGAAAUAACAGAAACUAGAAAACAAUAGAAAACGAAACAGGAGAUUAAUCUCAACCUUUUUGCUUGUAUUUUGUUUUUGAUUGCUUAACAUGCGUAAUACAAUUUUUGUAUAUUGAAUCCCCCUUUACAAUCAGUUUCAUUUCGGCUUUAUAGCCGAUUCCCAUAUUAAAAUAUUGUUUGUUUUAUUCUCUGGUACUGCUUGUGCUUCUUGCUGCCAUCUUUUCCUCUUUUCCAAAUGUUUGCAGGUUAUGGGAGUGUCAGGCACAUUGAGGAGGAGGGCAUGCGCGGGGUGUGGUGGCCGAGCGUUGAACGUGCUGCCCGAGCACAUGGGGAGAGGCGGCUGGAGGCUUGGGGCUAGGGUUGGCUGCUAAAAAUUCUUAAGAUUAGUGGGCUGUUAUUUGGGCUCUUUUUUAUUGUUUUGGGUUUUGUUAUUGUUUUAUUUGUCUGGGCCAAAAAUUGGCCAUUACAAUAACAAUAAAAUAUUUUUGUAAAUAAAUAACUAUUCAUAUAGUUUACUUAAUUCAUAAAUAUAUAUAUAUAAAAGAGGAAUUCAAUUAUACUAGUCUAAAAUUAUAUUUAAUUUAUUUACUUUCAAAACUCCUCAAUUAAUUAAAAUUCCAGUAACUCAAUAAUUUGAUUUAUCAAUGUAA